ensembl:ncRNA Y51A2D.31 ncRNA
UCUCUGGAUUUUUUUAUUUGACACCCAUAUCGGCUAGGUUUGAAAUUUUCGGAUUUUGGGCUGAAUUCAAGCUGAAUUCAGGCCGAAUUCAGGCCCAAAGCUAAGCUUUCAGAGGGG